AGAGUUUGAUCCUGGCUCAGAUUGAACGCUGGCGGCAUGCCUAACACAUGCAAGUCGAACGGUAACAGGCCGCAAGGUGCUGACGAGUGGCGAACGGGUGAGUAAUACGUAGGUAUCUGCCCUGUAGUGGGGGAUAACCCGGGGAAACUCGGGCUAAUACCGCAUACGCUCUUUUAUCGUUGAGAUAGGAGAGGAAAGCGAGGGACCGAAAGGCCUCGCGCUAGAGGAUGAGCCUACGCCCGAUUAGCUAGUUGGUAGGGUAAAAGCCUACCAAGGCGACGAUCGGUAGCUGGUCUGAGAGGAUGGCCAGCCACACUGGGACUGAGACACGGCCCAGACUCCUACGGGAGGCAGCAGUGGGGAAUAUUGGACAAUGGGGGAAACCCUGAUCCAGCGAUGCCGCGUGGGUGAAGAAGGCCUGCGGGUUGUAAAGCCCUUUCAGUGGGGAAGAAAAACGGGGUGUGAACAGCGCUUCGUUUUGACGUUACCCACAGAAGAAGCACCGGCUAACUCCGUGCCAGCAGCCGCGGUAAUACGGAGGGUGCGAGCGUUAAUCGGAAUUACUGGGCGUAAAGGGCGCGUAGGCGGUUGGGUAAGUCGGGUGUGAAAGCCCUGGGCUUAACCUGGGAAUGGCAUUCGAGACUACCUAUCUAGAGUCUGGUAGAGGGAAGUGGAAUUUCCGGUGUAGCGGUGAAAUGUGUAGAUAUCGGAAGGAACACCAGUGGCGAAGGCGACUUCCUGGACCAAGACUGACGCUGAGGCGCGAAAGCGUGGGGAUCAAACAGGAUUAGAUACCCCGGUAGUCC
rnacentral:rRNA from 1 species